GGGAAAGUUAAUAGUUUAAAUUAAUAUACAUAGUUUUGCUACAAGAAAAGAAAAGCUUUCACAUAUAAUAUUGGUAUCCAAGGUUAAUAAGCUGCAAGAGAAACUAUGAUCUCGCAUAUAACGUUGACCUUUUUUUUUCCAGAAAGUGUAGAUAACAGGCGUCACCGCGCUUGCACAGCUACCAUGAUGCAGGAAGACCGUAUGUCAUAUGUCCCAUAUGGAACUGAAAUUAUCAAGUUACAAUGACAAAGGAAG